AAUUUUGGACAAUGGGGGAAACCCUGAUCCAGCCAUCCCGCGUGUAUGAUGAAGGCCCNCGGGUUNUNAAGUACUUUUGGCAGAGNCGAAAAGGUAUCCCCUAACACGGGAUACUGCUGACGGUAUCUGCAGAAGAAGCACCGGCUCACUACGUGACAGCAGCCGCGGUAAUACGUAGGGUUCAAGCGUUAAUCGGAAUUACUGGGCGUAAAGCAUGUGUAGGCUGUUCGGAAAGAAAGAUGUGAAAUCCCAGGGCUCAACCUUGGAACUGCAUUUUUAACUGCCGAGCUAGAGUAUGUCAGAGGGGGGUAGAAUUCAACGUGUAGCAGUGAAAUGCGUAGAUAUGUGGAGGAAUACCGAUGGCGAAGGCAGCCCCCUGGGAUAAUACUGACGCUCAGACACGAAAGCGUGGGGAGCAAACAGG
rnacentral:rRNA from 1 species